rnacentral:rRNA from 1 species
GAUCCUGGCUCAGGACGAACGCUGGCGGCGUGCCUAACACAUGCAAGUCGAACGAAGCUCCCCGGUACAAGGCUUCGGCCAAGUUGAAGGGAUGACCUAGUGGCGGACGGGUGAGUAACGCGUGAGGAACCUGCCUUUCAGUGGGGGACAACAGUUGGAAACGACUGCUAAUACCGCAUAAUGUUUCUGGACCGCAUGAUCUGGAAACCAAAGCUUUAUGUGCUGAAAGAUGGCCUCGCGU